rnacentral:tRNA from 1 species
UCCGCGGUAGCUCAAUGGUAGAGCGGCACGCUGUUAACGUGAUGGUUGUAGGUUCGAAUCCUACCCGCGGAG